rnacentral:rRNA from 1 species
GACGACGCUGGCGGCGUGGAUUAGGCAUGCAAGUCGAACGGUAUCAUCCUUUCGGGGGUGAGAGAGUGGCGAACUGGUGAGUAACACGUAGGUUAUCUACCCUCAAGACGGGGACAACCCAGGGAAACUUGGGCUAAUACCGGAUGUGAGCAACUUUUAGUUGUUUGAAAGGUGGCGUAAGCUGUCGCUUGGGGAUGAGCCUGCGUCCUAUUAGUUAGUUGGUGAGGUAACGGCUCACCUAGGCAAUGAUAGGUAGGCGGCCUUAACGGGUGGUCGCCCACACUGGGAUUGAGAUACGGCCCAGACUCCUACGGGAGGCAGCAGUCGAGAAUAGUCUACAAUGGUCGGAAGACUGAUAGUGCGACGCCGCGUGAACGAAGAAGCCCUUCGGGGUGUAAAGUUCUUUUAUAUGUGAGCAGUGCUUUCUAUGUGAACAGCAUGGGGAGAGAGAUAUUAGCAUAUGAAUAAGCAACGGCUAACUCCGUG